GACGAACGCUGGCGGCGUGCUUAACACAUGCAAGUCGAACGGUAAGGCCCUUCGGGGUCCACGAGUGGCGAACGGGUGAGUAACACGUGGGUAAUCUGCCCUGCACAUCGGGAUAAGCCUGGGAAACUGGGUCUAAUACCGAAUAGGACCACAGGACACAUGUCCUGUGGUGGAAAGCUUUUGCGGUGUGGGAUGGGCCCGCGGCCUACCAGCUUGUUGGUGGGGUGAUGGCCUACCAAGGCGACGACGGGUAGCCGGCCUGAGAGGGUGUCCGGCCACACUGGGACUGAGAUACGGCCCAGACUCCUACGGGAGGCAGCAGUGGGGAAUAUUGCACAAUGGGCGAAAGCCUGAUGCAGCGACGCCGCGUGGGGGAUGACGGCCUUCGGGUUGUAAACCUCUUUCACCAUCGACGAAGGUCCGGGUUUUCUCGGGCUGACGGUAGGUGGAGAAGAAGCACCGGCCAACUACGUG
rnacentral:rRNA from 1 species